UAGUUGGUAAGGUAACGGCUUACCAAGGCAACGAUGCAUAGCCGACCUGAGAGGGUGAUCGGCCACACUGGAACUGAGACACGGUCCAGACUCCUACGGGAGGCAGCAGUAGGGAAUCUUCCGCAAUGGGCGAAAGCCUGACGGAGCAACGCCGCGUGAGUGAUGAAGGUCUUCGGAUCGUAAAACUCUGUUAUUAGGGAAGAACAUAUGUGUAAGUAACUGUGCACAUCUUGACGGUACCUAAUCAGAAAGCCACGGCUAACUACGUGCCAGCAGCCGCGGUAAUACGUAGGUGGCAAGCGUUAUCCGGAAUUAUUGGGCGUAAAGCGCGCGUAGGCGGUUUU
rnacentral:rRNA from 1 species